UUUUACCUAGGGCAACACAUCUUUAACCAUGCUUCAGAAAGGUAACAAGGAAUACAAACCCAAUAUAGCGCCACUCUAUGAAACCAAGCAAAUGCUAAGAAAAGACUUAUCUAGCCACUUUUUAUGAUUCUAAAAAAGGCAAAUAAUAUCUUGCUAACUAAAAUUCUAAUAAAUAAUAGUGGAGAGUUGUUGAAAGUUAAACCAA
rnacentral:lncRNA from 1 species